rnacentral:rRNA from 1 species
AGUGAACGCUGGCGGUAGGCCUAACACAUGCAAGUCGAACGGCAGCACAGUAAUAGCUUGCUCUUACGGGUGGCGAGUGGCGGACGGGUGAGGAAUACAUCGGAAUCUACUUUUUCGUGGGGGAUAACGUAGGGAAACUUACGCUAAUACCGCAUACGACCUACGGGUGAAAGCAGGGGAUCUUCGGACCUUGCGCGAUUGAAUGAGCCGAUGUCGGAUUAGCUAGUUGGCGGGGUAAAGGCCCACCAAGGCGACGAUCCGUAGCUGGUCUGAGAGGAUGAUCAGCCACACUGGAACUGAGACACGGUCCAGACUCCUACGGGAGGCAGCAGUGGGGAAUAUUGGACAAUGGGCGCAAGCCUGAUCCAGCCAUACCGCGUGGGUGAAGAAGGCCUUCGGGUUGUAAAGCCCUUUUGUUGGGAAAGAAAAGCAGCAGGUUAAUAACCCGCUGUUCUGACGGUACCCAAAGAAUAAGCACCGGCUAACUUCGUG